UCACUCUUAAAAAAAGUGUGUGUGUCCGC
rnacentral:sRNA from 1 species